rfam:Schistosoma rodhaini strain Burundi genome assembly, scaffold: SROB_scaffold0000496
AUCCAGCUGACGAGUUUCAAAUAGGACGAAAACCGUAUCUUGUAU